CUGAGGAGUCCCACAACAGGACGAAACGGCCGUC
rfam:Schistosoma haematobium scaffold32_13, whole genome shotgun sequence.